AUUGAACGCUGGCGGCGUGCUUAACACAUGCAAGUCGAACGCGAAAGGGACUUCGGUCCUGAGUAAAGUGGCGCACGGGUGAGUAACGCGUGGAUAAUCUGCCCUUAUGAUUGGAAUAACAGUUGGAAACGGCUGCUAAUACCGGAUACGCUCAAAAUGAACUUUUUGAGGACAGAUGGCCUCUGCUUGCAUGCUAUCGCAUAAGGAUGAGUCCGCGUCCCAUUAGCUUGUUGGCGGGGUAACGGCCCACCAAGGCAACGAUGGGUAGCCGAUUUGAGCGGAGGAACGUCCACACUGGAACUGAAACACGGUCCAGACGCGUACGGGAGGCAGCGGUGGGGAAUAUUGCGCAAUGGGCGAAAGCCUGACGCAGCGACGCCGCGUGAGGGAUGAAGGUUUUCGGAUCGUAAACCUCUGUCAGAAGGGAAGAAACUACGUUGUGCUAAUCAGCAGCGUACUGACGGUACCUUCAAAGGAAGCACCGGCUAACUCCGUGCCAGCAGCCGCCGUAA
rnacentral:rRNA from 1 species